GGGUGAGUAACACGUGGAUAACCUACCUAUAAGACUGGGAUAACUUCGGGAAACCGGAGCUAAUGCCGGAUAAUAUAUUGAACCGCAUGGUUCAAUAGUGAAAGACGGUUUUGCUGUCACUUAUAGAUGGAUCCGCGCCGCAUUAGCUAGUUGGUAAGGUAACGGCUUACCAAGGCAACGAUGCGUAGCCGACCUGAGAGGGUGAUCGGCCACACUGGAACUGAGACACGGUCCAG
rnacentral:rRNA from 1 species